CGCCAGCAGGUGGCGAAACACGAUUUUCUGUAAAAUUAUGAGUACCAGAGACUGGAAAGGAUGUGAGGGUGGGAAGGGGAAAUGAAGAGAGGUUGGUGAAUGGGUACAAACUUAUAGUUAGAUGGAAGAAAUAGGGUCUAAUGUUAGCUAGCAACUGGGGUGACUAUAGUUAGCAAUGAUACAUUGUAUAUUUCAAAAUAGCUAGAAGAGAAGAUUUGAAAUGUUACCAACGUAUAUAAAUGAUAAAUACUCAAGGUGAUGGAUACCCCAAAUACCCUUCUUCUUUUUCUUCCUCUUCUUUUUUCUUCUUCUUCCUCUUCUUUGAUCUCUCCUUGUUCUCCUCCUUCUCCUUGUUCUCCUUCUUCUCCUUCUCUUUCUUCUUUUCCUCCUGUUCUUCCUCUUCUCCUCCUCCUCUUCCUCUCCCUCUCCUUCUCCUUCUUGUUAUUCUUUCUUCUUUCUUCUUCUUUUUUGAGACAGAGUCUCAUUUUGUUGCCCAGGCUGGAGUGCAGUGGCUCGAUCUCGGUUCACUGUAAACUCCGCCUCCUGGGUUGAUCCUUCCACGUCAGCAUCCUGAGCUGGUGGGACCACAGGCGCACGCCACCACGGCCGCCUAAUUU
rnacentral:lncRNA from 1 species